GCGGUGCUUGCUCUGGAUCCUGUGGCGGGGGCGUCUCUGCAGGCCAGGGUCCUGGGCGCCCGUGAAGAUGGAGCCAUAUUCCUGCAGGCGCUCUGGAGCAGGGUACUUGGCACUGGAGAACACCUGUGGACACAGGGACAAGUCUGAGGGGGCCCCAAGAGGCUCAGAGGGCUAGGAUUGCUUGGCAGGAGAGGGUGGAGUUGGGAGCCUGGGCGAGAAGAAAGCCCAAGGUAGAGGUGGGCAGCAGGGCAGAGACUGGGCAGCCUCAGAGGCACGGGGAAAUGGAGGGACUGCCCAGUAGCCUCAGGACACAGGGGCAUGGGGACUACCUUGAUGGCCUUCUUGCUGCCCUUGAUCUUCUCAAUCUUGGCCUGGGCCAAGGAGACCUUCUCUCCAAUGGCCUGCACCUGGCUCCGGCUCUGCUCUACCCGCUGGGAGAUCCUGCCAUGGAGAAGAUCACAGAGGCUGGGCUGCUCCCCACCCCCUGCACACCUCCUGCUCCUAACAGCAGAGCUGCCAGGCCAGGCCCUCAGGCAAGGGCUCUUAAGUCAGGGUCACCUGCUUGCCAGGGCUGAUCUUGGUGCCAUCCAGGGGGCCUCUACAAGGAUAAUCUGACCUGCAGGGUCGAGGAGUUGAUGGUACUGAGUUCCCUGCACUCUCAGUAGGGACAGGCCCUAUGCUGCCACCUGUACAUGCUAUCUGAAGGACAGCCUCCAGGGCACACAGAGGAUGGUAUUUACACAUGCACACAUGGCUAUUGAUGGGGCAAGCAUUUCACAACCCCUCAUGAUCACGUGCAGCAGACAAAGUAGCCUCUGCAGAGGGGGAAUGGAGACCGGAGGCUGAGACUGGCAAGGCUGGACCUGAGUGUCAUCACCUAAAUUCAGACGGGGAACUGCCCCCGCACAUAGUGAACGGCUCACUGAGCAAACCCUGAGUCCCAACCACCGCCUCAGUGUGGUCUAGCUCCUCACCUGCUUCCAUCCUCCCUGGUGCGGGGUGGGCCCAGUGAUAUCAGCUGCCUGCUGUUCCCCAGAUGUGCCAAGUGCAUUCUUAUGUGCUUGCAUCUCAUGGAACACCAUUUCCCCAGACAUGCCUGUGGCUGGCUCCUGGUGCCCGAGGCCCAAGUGUCUGAUGCUUUAAGGCACAUCACCCCACUCAUGCUUUUCCAUGUUCUUUGGCCGCAGCAAGGCCGCUCUCACUGCAAAGUUAACUCUGAUGCGUGUGUAACAACAUCCUCCUCCCAGUCGCCCCUGUAGCUCCCCUACCUCCAAGAGCCCAGCCCUUGCCCACAGGGCCACACUCCACGUGCAGAGCAGCCUCAGCACUCACCGGGCACGAGCGAGCCUGUGUGGUGCGCAGGGAUGAGAAGGCAGAGGCGCGACUGGGGUUCGUGAGGAAAGGCAGGAGGAGGGUGUGGGAUGGUGGAGGGGUUUGAGAAGGCAGAGGCGUGACUGGGGUUCAUGAGGAAAGGCAGGAGGAGGGUGUGGGAUGGUGGAGGGGUUUGAGAAGGCAGAGGCGUGACUGGGGUUCAUGAGGAAAGGCAGGAGGAGGGUGUGGGAUGGUGGAGGGGCUGCAGACUCUGGGCUUGGGAAAGCUGGGGUGUCUCUAAAGGUUGGAAUGAAUGGCCUAGAAUCGGACCCAAUAAGCCAAAGCCACUUCCACCAACGUUAGAAGGCCUUGGCCCCCAGAGAGCCAAUUUCACAAUCCAGGAGUCCCCGUGCCCUAAUGGGUCUGCCCUGAUUACUCCUGGCUCCUUGUGUGCAGGGGGCUCAGGCAUGGCAGGGCUGGGAGUACCAGCAGGCACUCAAGCGGCUUAAGUGUUCCAUGACAGACUGGUAUGAAGGUGGCCACAAUUCAGAAAGAAAAAAGAAGAGCACCAUCUCCUUCCAGUGAGGAAGCGGGGCCACCACCCAGCGUGUGCUCCAUCUUUUCUGGCUGGGGAGAGGCCUUCAUCUGCUGUAAAGGGUCCUCCAGCACAAGCUGUUUUAAUUUACCCUAGUUCCCAAGGCAGCCUCAUUCUGCCUUGGGUGCUGACACGACCUUCGGUAGGUGCAUAAGCUCUGCAUUCGAGGUCCACAGGGGCAGUGGGAGGGAACUGAGACUGGGGAGGGACAAAGGCUGCUCUGUCCUGGUGCUCCCACAAAGGACAGAAGGGCUGAUCACUCAAAGUUGCGAACACCAAGCUCAACAAUGAGCCCUGGAAAAUUUCUGGAAUGGAUUAUUACACAGAGAGUCUGUAAGCACUUAGAAAAGGCCGCGGUGAGUCCCAGGGGCCAGCACUGCUCGAAGUGUACAGCAUUUCUCUUUGUAACAGGAUUAGUAGCUUGCUGUGCCCGGGGAGAACAUGCAGCACAGCGCAUCUCGAGUCAGCAGGAUUUCGACGGCUUCUAACAAAAUCCUGUAGACAAGAUGGAGCUAUGGGGGUUGGAGGAGAGAACAUAUAG
rnacentral:lncRNA from 1 species